GGGGGUGUAGCUAAGUGGAAGAGCAUCUGCUCAGCAUGCAAAAGACCCCAAGUUCAGUCCCUGGCAUCUCCA